CUCUGUCAUCUAAAGAUCUGACAUGUCAACCCAAAACCCCUUAUGAAAGCAGAGACUGUAUUUGGGUGAUUGUACUAGUUUGUGGUGCACUGCUUAUAUUAAUCUUACCUGUGAUUUCCUGGAAAUUGUGGUCAUGGCAUACAAAUGCAAUCACAAGAGAGGAAGCAACAGAAAUAACAACAGAUAUAU